AUUAUGAAGGUGAGGCUCUUGAGGUUCUUAGGAAGAACGGGCCCAGCAUUCCAACAACCAUCUGAUUCCAAAGGUGUUUGGACUGGUUUUGACCACUGUCCAUCCCAAACAACUCCCAAGGCAUCCACUUUAAAAUAUAGCUUUCCUCCUCUAUAAGGAUUCCACCUCAAUUAGGGUUCCACUUUCUUAUUUCAAACUCCAGGAGAUGCCAUCGCCUGAACUCUUAUCCACAGGCAUCUCAUCUGCACCACAGACCAACUUGCAUGGAACUCAACCAGAGAGGGCUCCUGUCCAAUUACCCUUCAUACUCCUUGUAGUGCUGUGACCAGGGCCUUCUUCCCCCAUUACCCUCCCCACAUAUACCUCUGCUAUUGGGAAUAGGCUGUUUGUGGCUGGAAACCACAUUGAGCUUUGGCCUGAAACACUCUUCCCUGGUCAAGCAAAGGAGCCAUCCCUUUUUUUCCAACAGUGUUACCCAGAGGCACCCAAUAUCUCUGUAGUCUCAACAUGAGGAGAACCAAAGAGCAGAAAAUGUGAAGGAGACCAGGGGAGACCAGGGCGUCACUUAACAUUGCCCAGACAGGAUUCUGGAGGAGUUCCUGAGCCUGCUGGGGUUAAAGGUACCUCUGCUGGCCAGCCAAGGGGCCGAAGGGAUGGUAUGGGCGAGAGGUGGCAGGCUCACCUGAGGAAGAAGAAAUAGGAGUAAUCCUGGACCACGGUAUGGGAGUGACAGGAGAAGUAGCCCAGAACGGUGAGGUUGAGGCUGGAGCCCCGGGGCACUUCGAGCAUGCUGUCCCACGCCUGGUGGCACAGCAUCUCGAUCUCAGCAGAGUAGAAGAGCCCCGCGUCGCUGGCUUCAUACUGCCAGGGCAGGUCCGUGCAGCUCCUCAUGCAGCGCCAGCACCUUGGCCUACAUGAUAGUCUCGGCCAGCUCCACUCGGCAGCCCUCGCUCAGGGGUCUCCACUCGGAGGGCAGCUGGCAGCCACGGCGGCCUCCAGCCCGCCGGCCAGGCAGAGCGCGACGAGCAGCAGCGGGCGCAGCAUGCCGGCGGCUAGGGCGGGCGGCGGGAGCCGCCGGGUGGCCGCCGCGCCCCAGGCGCGCUAUCCGGGGCGCAGGGACGUGGUGGGGGAUGGGGGAGCCCCGCGGCGGCAGCGAGAGCGUCGGGGAACCCAAAGUGGUGGGCCCCACCAGCGGGAGGCGCAGCCCCGGGCGCUCGGCUGCGCGCACAGCUGCGGAAGCUAAGCGUGCUGCUCCCUCCUCCGCCGGGAUCCCCCUGAGGGGCCUCGCUUGUGAGACUUGUAAAAGGGCACGGGGAAGGCCGGCCACCGCCGCCUCCUGCCCCCCACCCCUGGCUGGGGCGUGGGCGGCAUAGGGAGGGGCAGAGGCGGGAAGCCGUCCAGGGGCGCGGGAUGCUGGGGAGACAGCGCAGUCGGCGCUGGACCGGGAGCCCCCUGGCCGAAUUUGGUGUUUGCGCCAGCGCGGAGGUCCUCGGCUGAAAAGUCAGUGUGGGGAGAGGCGGCCCAGCCCUCUUCCGGCACCCUGCGCACCGACCAGGUUGAAGCUUUGCCGGCACAAAGCGCGCUCCAGACAUGGCUUUCUUAGAAUUAUUGCCCUCAAUUGCCAUGAGUACUCAGGGGCAGAAAUCCAGCUGGCUCGAGGCAGGGACUCAGGAGGAAGAGGCUAUGAGCAGCAUGGUCUCAGGGGAUCAGAAGAUCCUGGGAAGGCUUUGGGCAUGCCUUGAAGUGAAAUGGCCAGGACACCAGCCAGUGUGGCCCAGCUUCUGAGGGAAUUAAGGCUAAAGAUCCAUAAAGUCACACCAAUCCAGAAUCCAACGGGUGACUCAAUGGACAGAUGUGUGCUUAAUCGCUCAGUCAUGUCCUACUCUCAUCGACCCCAAGGACUGUAGCAUCCCAGGCGCCUUGGUUCAUGGGAUUCUCCAGGCAAGAGUACUGGAGUGGGUUGCCAUGCCCUCCUCCAGGGGAUCUUCCCAACCCAGAGAUCGAACCCAGAUCUCCCACAUUGCAGGCAGAUUCUUUACUGUCUGAGCCACGAGGGAAGCCGUGACUCAAUGGACCGGAUUCUUAUUCCUACAAGAUCAUCUUUGUUGGAAGAGGAAAGAAUUAAGAGUAAGAGCUCCUCACGGACAAUAACAAACCUCUACAUAGCUGGAAGUCAGCCUGGAGCCUCAAUUAUUUCUGUAGAAAACAGUUAUAUUGAGGGAAGCAAGUGAACAGUAGUCCUGAUGGUAAAAGACUCCUCCCGACAACCCCACCACCACCAUGGGACAUGGUAGAGUUAAGCUUUUCCCACAAGGAGAAAUGGCAUUUGAGGAUGGCAUCAGACAUCCUAUGUUAGGACUGCCCAUUUGUUUCUCCUUCAAUAUAUGAGUUAAAAUGUUUCAUAAUGUCUUAGUCUGUUCAGGGUGCCAUGGCAAAAUACCACAGCCUGAGGGGCUUAAACAACAAACAUUUAUUUCCCACAGUGCUGGAGGCUGGAAGUCCAAGAUCAGGGUGUCAAUGGGAUUGGUUCCAGGAUAGUAAAUGGCCACCUUUCCUCUGUGUCCCCACAUGGCCUCUCUUCUUUGUAUAUGUAG
ensembl:lncRNA